rnacentral:rRNA from 1 species
AUACGGGGGGUGCAAGCGUUAUUCGGAUUUAUUGGGCGUAAAGAGCGCGUAGGCGGUUUAUCAAGUCAGAUGUGAAAGCCCUGGGCUCAACCUGGGAAGUGCAUUUGAAACUAGUAGACUUGAGUAUGGGAGAGGGGAGUGGAAUUCCUGGUGUAGAGGUGAAAUUCGUAGAUAUCAGGAGGAACACCGGUGGCGAAGGCGACUUCCUGGACCAAUACUGACGCUCAGGGGCGAAAGCGUGGGGAGC